rnacentral:rRNA from 1 species
AUUGAACGCUGGCGGCAUGCCUUACACAUGCAAGUCGAACGGUAACGCGGGCAACCUGGCGACGAGUGGCGAACGGGUGAGUAAUACAUCGGAACGUGCCCAGUAGUGGGGGAUAGGCCCGGCGAAAGCCGGAUUAAUACCGCAUACGACCUACGGGUGAAAGCAGGGGAUCGCAAGACCUUGCGCUAUUGGAGCGGCCGAUGUCAGAUUAGGUGUUGGUGGGGUAAAGGCCUACCAAGCCGACGAUCUGUAGCUGGUCUGAGAGGACGACCAGCCACACUGGGACUGAGACACGGCCCAGACUCCUACGGGAGGCAGCAGUGGGGAAUUUUGGACAAUGGGCGCAAGCCUGAUCCAGCCAUGCCGCGUGCGGGAAGAAGGCCU